rnacentral:rRNA from 1 species
AUUUAACGCUGGCGGCAGGCUUACCACAUGCAAGUCGAGCGAGUGGCGGACGGGUGAGUAAUGUCUGGGAAACUGCCUGCUGGCGGGGGAUAACUACUGGAAACGGUAGCUAAUACCGCAUACCAUCAGAUGUUCCCAGAUGGGAUUCGCUAGUUGGUGGGGGAAUGGCUCACCAAGGCGACGAUCCCUAGCUGGUCUGAGAGGAUGACCAGCCACACUGGAACUGAGACACGGUCCAUACUCCUACGGGCGGUAGCAGUGGGGAAUAUUGCACAAUGGGCGCAAGCCUGAUGCAGCCAUGCCGCGUGUGUGAAGAAGGCCUUCGGGUUGUAAAGUACUUUCAGCGGGGAGGCGUUACUCGCAGAAGAAGCACCGGCUAACUCCGUGCCAGCAGCCGCGGUAAUUC